ACUCCUACGGGAGGCAGCAGUAGGGAAUCUUCCACAAUGGACGCAAGUCUGAUGGAGCAACGCCGCGUGUAUGAAGAAGGUCUUCGGAUCGUAAAAUACUGUUGUCAGAGAAGAACACGGGAUAAAGUAACUGUGUCCCGCUGACGGUAUCUGACCAGCAAUCAC
rnacentral:rRNA from 1 species